AUUGAACGCUGGCGGCAUGCCUUACACAUGCAAGUCGAACGGUAACAGGUCUUCGGAUGCUGACGAGUGGCGAACGGGUGAGUAAUACAUCGGAACGUGCCUAGUAGUGGGGGAUAACCACUCGAAAGAGUGGCUAAUACCGCAUGAGAUCUACGGAUGAAAGCAGGGGAUCGCAAGACCUUGUGCUACUAGAGCGGCCGAUGGCAGAUUAGGUAGUUGGUGGGAUAAAAGCUUACCAAGCCGACGAUCUGUAGCUGGUCUGAGAGGACGAUCAGCCGCACUGGGACUGAGACACGGCCCAGACUCCUACGGGAGGCAGCAGUGGGGAAUUUUGGACAAUGGGCGCAAGCCUGAUCCAGCAAUGCCGCGUGCAGGAUGAAGGCCUUCGGGUUGUAAACUGCUUUUGUACGGAACGAAAAGCCCUGGGUUAAUACCCUGGGGUCAUGACGGUACCGUAAGAUUAAGCACCGGCUAACUACGUGCCAGCCGCCGCAGUAAGAC
rnacentral:rRNA from 1 species